ACAAGGACAGACACGGCAUAGGUAACAAUAUUUUUUAAAAAAUUAAUGAACAGUCUGGCCAGGUUGGAGUGUUGUCCCGAUGCGCCAGGGUUGUGGGUUUGAUCUCCAGUAGCUUUUUCCUAAAUUAUUGAGCAAGGUAUCAGAAAUAUUUUCACUUAGGAAUGCUUUCAGCUUCAGGUUAAAGAAAACGUGAAUGAAGGCGGUUUAUACAAAUAGGUGGGGUUUUGUUUGCUUUGUUUUGUUCUGCGUUACAGUGAGGAGUGUGGAUGUAGGUGGCUGCUGGCCUUGGUUCAGGUGUUUAGCCAGGAACCUUCUUGGGCUCUUCCUACCUUCCUCCUUGGCUCCUGAGUGUGUGGGAUGUUUUGAUCUGAUGACUAUCAGCUUACCUCAUGAUCACAAGGCAGCUGUCACACUCAGACAGAACAUCCAUGUGCAAGGCAAGAAAUAAAGGGAUGAGAUAUUAUAAGCAAAGCACCCCCUUCUGUUAGAAAACAACACAUCCUGCCCAGAAGCCCCAGCACUCCCACUUACAUCUCAUUGGCCAGAACUGGCACAUGGCCGACUCUAAUGGCUUGGGAAUCUGGGAAAGCAAGUAUGUGGUGUUUUCAGUCUCCGAUGUGGAGAUGAGUAAGGAAGAAGGGGGCUGGGAAUGGCUGUUGGAUUAUCCACCAACAGUGUGUGUCACAAACAACUGGCUCACUUGUUUUCAAUCUUCCUUGGUUUAUCACUUCCUGAUGCCGUUGGGAUGAAUCCUCACUCUGGUCUUGUUGCUCCUCCUGUCAUUUUGGCUGUAAUCAUUCUGUUUUUCAACCCAUUUAUGGACUGAGGCACUGGGGCAGGGAGAGUGGGAACGCAGUCCCCCACUACCACAAAUUACGCAGUGGAGUUUACCACAUUCGGGGAAAUCGCAGGGGUCAGUACAUCCAGAGUGCAAUGGGAAAGCCUCGCUCUGGGAAAACCACCUUUGUGAUCCUGGUAUCUCCCCUGCCAGGAAGUUAAAUCUAAGGCUGGGCUAGAUUUAGGUUCUACAUUUUUGGCAUCAUUAUCUCCUGAAUGAUCUGUGCACUCGGAGACAGAUAAUGGCAGCUUGCCCCACUACAAGUGAUGCCAUGAUUGAUCACUUGGUUACAGUGGUCAUUGCCGCAUUUUUUCAAAGGUAUGCUUUCCCUUGGCAAAUUGUUAAUGGAAAUAAAAUGUGGAGCAACACUCUGUCACCAUGCACCAUCCUAAACUCAGUAACCUCUUACCUAGCAUCCACUGAAUCAUGUUUUUCAUUGGGAAUUGCAGUCGAGUUUUGUUUUUUAAUUUCAGUGGCUGUAUUUUUUAAAGUUUUUCAGUUUGCUUUAUUUUGAAAUGUCUUUUUUCACAUAUUGCUCUAUCCUUUCACGACUUACUUUUUAUACUUGCUAUCUUUUUUAUCAUGAAGCAUACCGAUUGUAUAUUGACUUUGUUCUUUUACCAGUGUGAGGAGGGAAGGGCUUUUUUCUCUCUGUUGUGGUGAUGUGUCCAUGGUAAUAUGCUAUAGUUGCUAGCAUAAGUAAGUGUCCCUAACCUAAUGGCUUUGUAUUUGCUAAGAUUUUAGGGUUUCAUUAUUCUCAGACCAUGGGCCUCUCUCGGGCCGACUCCCCUUGCUGCUCUGACUUCUCUGUUCUUUUUGGGACAGAGAAAUCCCAAAAAGGAAUUCUCAACUUUAGGAACUUUAAGUUUCCUGUGUAUUUGACUGUUUUUGUUGGACCACUCAAUAUUAAUUUGACUUCAAAUUUCUAUAAUAGGAGGGUAUGUGAAUCAGAAACAAGUUCUGAGGGCUGGAGCUUUAUCUCUCAUGCACAGCUGGCCAGCAAUUCACCAGGAUUUGCCAAGGUUGGGUAACUGGAAAUAAGGCCCCUACCAAAACCCAAGUGCCCCAAGGACUCACACUGGUCUUGGGAAGCAGCAGGUAAGUUUGCAACUACCUGGACCCACAUGUAGAAAAGCAAAAAAGGAUGGCUCUCAUUCUCAAUACUUCAUCAAGAUUGUUCAAGGUCACCAAUGACUUAGGUGCUAGCAACAUUUUUUAAAGCAUAGUUUGUUUUUAAAUUAAUUUUUAAAAAUUGAUUUUUAGAGACAGAGGAAGGGAGAGGGAGAGAGAGAAAC